ACAGAGACACAGGUUUGCCAUAGAAUUCCAACUAAACACUAUGGUGCAGUAGGAUAUGAUGUGCCCUUAAUCUUGGGAUCAGGGCACCAAAUAAGUUGACUAGUCGAAUCUCUGGCUCUGGCUGGAGAAAUGGAGAAGAUAUGUUUUCACACGCCGCCAGCUUAGCAGAUGAACCAGCAAACUGCACAUCUGUUCGUUUUUUCUACUCUUAACUUCCUGUAUACACGGUACAAACAAUUUGUUCGCUGUCAGUCAUUAUAUACAUCUCUGGUUGUGUUGCUUCUCUGCAUGUCCCCUGCUCUUGAUGUCCUGAGCCGUGGCGCUUCCGUUGGCCGCCACCAACACCUCUGCUGAGACGCGGGACAGACUGCACCGUCCGACCAUCGCCUUCUGCCUAACUUGGUUAAAUCGCAAAGUUCAGUUUGUCAAUUUUGGUAAGGCAACUCCACUUAAUUCGAAUUUUGUUAUUCGGUGUGCCAAAAUUUGUUGAAUGUGCAGUUUUGAAGGGACUUGAUCAGAUUAAUUUUUCCCUGGGCCGGAACUGAAUCUGGAAUCUGAAGCCAUGUUACCUCAAAUAUGAAGCCU
rnacentral:lncRNA from 1 species